CACAGCCCCGCAGAGCAGACGCUGCUCCGCUCCCCAGCCCGCCGGCCCCGGGAGCGCCCGGCCCCGGGGGCACCGAUUCCCGGCUCCAGGUGGGAGAGGGGCCGGAGCAGCUGGGGCUGGGCACGGGAAAGCCCGGCCAGGGCUGGGAGCUGCCGGGAACCUGCCUUUCGCUCUCACCUUGCACAGCUGCCUCUCGGACCGAUCUGAGGAGAAGCACAAAUCGUCCCCAGCUUCACACAAUGAUCACGUUAAGGAUGGAGCCAGACCUGCCACUACACAGAAUCUCUCACCUAUAUUCCGGCUUCUUCACUGAUCACUAAUGCAUCUAUUUGGAAUAUCGAGGGAUUUCUUACUGAAAAACUG